UGUCUCCUUUUUCAAAUCAGUGAAAUUAAUCUCCCCGUGAAGAAGCGGGGAUACUCAUAUAAGACGAGAAGACCCCAUGGAGCUUCAAACCCAACUACACCCCUAGCUCUUAUAGCCCCACAACCCCCCUAGGCGCCGUGUGCUUGGUUUUAGGUUGGGGCGACCGCGGAGUACAAUAAAACCUCCACAAUGAAUGGGAACACCCCCUUAUCUGAGGGCCACACCCCCUAAGAAUUAGAACACUAACAUAAAAUGAUCCAUUACUUGAUCAAUGAACCAAGUUACCCUGGGGAUAACAGCGCAAUCCAUUUCAAGAGCCCCUAUCGACAAAUGGGUUUACGACCUCGAUGUUGGAUCAGGGUACCCCAGUGGUGCAGCAGCUACUAACGGUUCGUUUGUUCAACGAUUAAAACCCU
rnacentral:rRNA from 1 species